GGUUAAGCGACUAAGCGUACACGGUGGAUGCCCUGGCAGUCAGAGGCGAUGAAGGGCGUGCUAAUCUGCGAUAAGCGCCGGUAAGGUGAUAUGAACCGUUAUAACCGGCGAUACCCGAAUGGGGAAACCCAGUGUGACUCGUCACACUAUCAUUAACUGAAUCCAUAGGUUAAUGAGGCGAACCGGGGGAACUGAAACAUCUAAGUACCCCGAGGAAAAGAAAUCAACCGAGAUUCCCCCAGUAGCGGCGAGCGAACGGGGAGGAGCCCAGAGCCUGAAUCAGCAUGUGUGUUAGUGGAAGCGUCUGGAAAGGCGCGCGAUACAGGGUGACAGCCCCGUACACAAAAGCGCAUGUGCUGUGAGCUCGAUGAGUAGGGCGGGACACGUGGUAUCCUGUCUGAAUAUGGGGGGACCAUCCUCCAAGGCUAAAUACUCCUGACUGACCGAUAGUGAACCAGUACCGUGAGGGAAAGGCGAAAAGAACCCCGGCGAGGGGAGUGAAAAAGAACCUGAAACCGUGUACGUACAAGCAGUGGGAGCCCCACCACCAAAGCAUUCUCUGGUGUUGAAGGCCCUGCAAAGCAGCAUCGCGGUGGCGGAGCGUCGUUUGCGACGCCCAACACACAAAACAAGCGGUGAGUGCUUUGGGGUGGGGUGACUGCGUACCUUUUGUAUAAUGGGUCAGCGACUUAUAUUCUGUAGCAAGGUUAACCGAAUAGGGGAGCCG
rnacentral:rRNA from 1 species